GAAGUUGAAAGAUCAGCCCAUGUAGGUCUAUUAUGUGUGCAGCAAUGUCCAGAAGAUAGGCCGAGUAUGGCGUCAGUUGUGCUCAUGUUGGGUAGUGAUGUUGCACUACCCUUGCCGAAAGAGCCCGGAUUUUUCAAUGGAAGAAGCCAAUCCACAGCCACCGAAGCAGACACUUCAUCUAGCAAGCAUGGUGAAACUUCUAUCAAUGAAUUAAGCAUCACACAAUUGGAUGCAAGAUAGGAGAUAAAUUUUAGGAUACAUUUGCUUAAUUGUUCCUGUCAUAUAGCUGAAUAACUAGUAGUUGUUCAACAUGAUUAGUAGACACUUAAUUUGAUGCAUUACUAU
rnacentral:misc_RNA from 1 species